AGCUGGAGCGUGGUUUAGGUAGUUUCAUGUUGUUGGGGAUGGCUUCCUGGCUCGGCAACAAGAAACUGCCUUGAUUACGUCAGUU
rnacentral:pre_miRNA from 1 species